GGCCAUUCCAUUUAAUAUACACACCCCCCUAUGUACGAGGCCAAUAAAUUUUGAACCCCUAAGAAGAAAAGAUCAAAGUGCCGACACAAACACCCCCCCAGAAAUUAAGAAAUUUUUGCCUUACCCCUCAGAAAAAACGCAAAGAUCAAAGGAUGCCGAUGCACACAACCCCUCAGAAACGGCUUUUUUAACCCCCCUCAGAAAUUCUCGUCCAUAGGGGGGGGUG
rnacentral:lncRNA from 1 species